UACAGAGGGGGCAAGCGUUGUUCGGAAUUACUGGGCGUAAAGGGCGCGUAGGCGGCCCGCUAAGUCGAACGUGAAAUCCCCGAGCUCAACUCGGGAACUGCGUCCGAUACUGGCGGGCUUGAAUCCGGGAGAGGGAUGCGGAAUUCCAGGUGUAGCGGUGAAAUGCGCAGAUAUCAGGAGGAACACCGGUGGCGAAGGCGGUUCUCUGGGCAUUACCUGACGCUGAGGAGCGAAAGUGUGGGGAGCGAACAGGAUUAGAAACCCCG
rnacentral:rRNA from 1 species